GAGUUUGAUCCUGGCUCAGAAUGAACGCUAGCUAUAUGCUUAACACAUGCAAGUCGAACGUGGCUUGCUUCCCCAUCUAUCCGUGUGGGGGCAGAAGCACAGCAAUAGCAAUAGUAGGAUUUGGCCCCCCUUAGCGUGCUCACUCACAAUGAUACGUAAGUGGGCGUGGGACACAGCAAGCAAAGUGGCGAACGGGUGCGUAACGCGUGGGAAUCCGCCGAACAGUUCACUCAAAUCCUGAAUAAUUCAUAAAGCAAGCUAAUUCGCGCUGUUCGAUGAGCCCGCGUAGUAUCAGGUAGUUGGUUAGGUAAAGGCUCACCAAGCCAAUGAUGCUUANUUGGUCUUUNCGGAUGAUCANCCACACUGCGACU
rnacentral:rRNA from 1 species